rnacentral:rRNA from 1 species
UGCCUGUGCCAGACCGCCUUCAAUGCGCCCAGUCUCAUCUGAUCCUGGGAGCUAAGCAGGGUUGGGCCUGGUCAGUACUUUGAUGGGUGAAUCGGAGAGGCUAGAAGUUCGGUUAC